rnacentral:piRNA from 1 species
CUCAGUACCACACCGCAAGCAGGCG